UGCCAGCCGCCGCGGUAAUACGAAGGUCCCAAGCGUUGUUCGGAAUUACUGGGCGUAAAGCGCGCGUAGGCGGACUAGUCAGUCAGAGGUGAAAUCCCAGGGCUCAACCCUGGAACUGCCUUUGAUACUGCUAGUCUUGAGUUCGAGAGAGGUGAGUGGAAUUCCGAGUGUAGAGGUGAAAUUCGUAGAUAUUCGGAGGAACACCAGUGGCGAAGGCGGCUCACUGGCUCGAUACUGACGCUGAGGUGCGAAAGUGUGGGGAGCAAACAGGAUUAGAUA
rnacentral:rRNA from 1 species